rnacentral:rRNA from 1 species
UCAUCUCCGGGGGUAGAGCACUGUUUCGGCUAGGGGGCCAUCCCGGCUUACCAACCCGAUGCAAACUGCGAAUACCGGAGAAUGUUAUCACGGGAGACACACGGCGGGUGCUAACGUCCGUCGUGAAGAGGGAAACAACCCAGACCGCCAGCUAAGGUCCCAAAGUCAUGGUUAAGUGGGAAACGAUGUGGGAAGGCACAGACAGCCAGGAUGUUGGCUUAGAAGCAGCCAUCAUUUAAAGAAAGCGUAAUAGCUCACUGGUCGAGUCGGCCUGCGCGGAAGAUGUAACGGGGCUAAACCAUGCACCGAAGCUGCGGCAGCGACACUUAGUGUUGUUGGGUAGGGGAGCGUUCUGUAAGCCGCAGAAGGUGGACUGUGAGGUCUGCUGGAGGUAUCAGAAGUGCGAAUGCUGACAUAAGUAACGAUAAAGCGGGUGAAAAGCCCGCUCGCCGGAAGACCAAGGGUUCCUGUCCAACGUUAAUCGGGGCAGGGUGAGUCGACCCCUAAGGCGAGGCCGAAAGGCGUAGUCGAUGGGAAACAGGUUAAUAUUCCUGUACUCGGUGUUACUGCGAAGGGGGGACGGAGAAGGCUAUGUUAGCCGGGCGACGGUUGUCCCGGUUUAAGCAUGUAGGCGGAGGUUCCAGGUAAAUCCGGAACCUUGUUAACGCUGAGGUGUGAUGACGAGGCACUACGGUGCUGAAGUAACAAAUGCCCUGCUUCCAGGAAAAGCCUCUAAGCAUCAGGUAACAACGAAUCGUACCCCAAACCGACACAGGUGGUCAGGUAGAGAAUACCAAGGCGCUUGAGAGAACUCGGGUGAAGGAACUAGGCAAAAUGGUGCCGUAACUUCGGGAGAAGGCACGCUGUCGUUAGGUGAAGUCACUUGCUGACGGAGCUGAAGGCAGUCGAAGAUACCAGCUGGCUGCAACUGUUUAUUAAAAACACAGCACUGUGCAAACACGAAAGUGGACGUAUACGGUGUGACGCCUGCCCGGUGCCGGAAGGUUAAUUGAUGGGGUUAUCCGCAAGGAGAAGCUCUUGAUCGAAGCCCCGGUAAACGGCGGCCGUAACUAUAACGGUCCUAAGGUAGCGAAAUUCCUUGUCGGGUAAGUUCCGACCUGCACGAAUGGCGUAAUGAUGGCCAGGCUGUCUCCACCCGAGACUCAGUGAAAUUGAACUCGCUGUGAAGAUGCAGUGUACCCGCGGCAAGACGGAAAGACCCCGUGAACCUUUACUACAGCUUGACACUGAACAUUGAGCCUUGAUGUGUAGGAUAGGUGGGAGGCUUUGAAGCGUGGACGCCAGUCUGCGUGGAGCCAUCCUUGAAAUACCACCCUUUAACGUUUGAUGUUCUAACCUGGCGCCGUGAUCCGGCGUGGGGACAGUGUCUGGUGGGUAGUUUGACUGGGGCGGUCUCCUCCCAAAGAGUAACGGAGGAGCACGAAGGUUGGCUAAUCCUGGUCGGACAUCAGGAGGUUAGUGCAAUGGCAUAAGCCAGCUUGACUGCGAGAGUGACGGCUCGAGCAGGUGCGAAAGCAGGUCAUAGUGAUCCGGUGGUUCUGAAUGGAAGGGCCAUCGCUCAACGGAUAAAAGGUACUCCGGGGAUAACAGGCUGAUACCGCCCAAGAGUUCAUAUCGACGGCGGUGUUUGGCACCUCGAUGUCGGCUCAUCACAUCCUGGGGCUGAAGUAGGUCCCAAGGGUACGGCUGUUCGCCGUUUAAAGUGGUACGCGAGCUGGGUUUAGAACGUCGUGAGACAGUUCGGUCCCUAUCUGCCGUGGGCGCUGGAGAAUUGAGAGGGGUUGCUCCUAGUACGAGAGGACCGGAGUGAACGCACCACUGGUGUUCGGGUUGUCAUGCCAAUGGCAUUGCCCGGUAGCUAAGUGCGGAAAAGAUAAGCGCUGAAAGCAUCUAAGCGCGAAACUUGCCUCGAGAUGAGUUCUCCCUG